GACGAACGCUGGCGGCGUGCUUAACACAUGCAAGUCGAACGGAAAGGCCCUGCUUUUGUGGGGUGCUCGAGUGGCGAACGGGUGAGUAACACGUGAGUAACCUGCCCUUGACUUUGGGAUAACCUCAGGAAACUGGGGCUAAUACCGGAUAGGAGCUCCUGCUGCAUGGUGGGGGUUGGAAAGUUUCGGCGGUUGGGGAUGGACUCGCGGCUUAUCAGCUUGUUGGUGGGGUAGUGGCUUACCAAGGCCUUGACGGGUAGCCGGCCUGAGAGGGUGACCGGCCACAUUGGGACUGAGAUACGGCCCAGACUCCUACGGGAGGCAGCAGUGGGGAAUAUUGCACAAUGGGCGGAAGCCUGAUGCAGCAACGCCGCGUGCGGGAUGACGGCCUUCGGGUUGUAAACCGCUUUCGCCUGUGACGAAGCGUGAGUGACGGUAAUGGGUAAAGAAGCACCGGCUAACUACGUGCCAGCAGCCGCGGUGAUACGUAGGGUGCGAGCGUUGUCCGGAUUUAUUGGGCGUAAAGGGCUCGUAGGUGGUUGAUCGCGUCGGAAGUGUAAUCUUGGGGCUUAACCCUGAGCGUGCUUUCGAUACGGGUUGACUUGAGGAAGGUAGGGGAGAAUGGAAUUCCUGGUGGAGCGGUGGAAUGCGCAGAUAUCAGGAGGAACACCAGUGGCGAAGGCGGUUCUCUGGGCCUUUCCUGACGCUGAGGAGCGAAAGCGUGGGGAGCGAACAGGCUUAGAUACCCUGGUAGUCCACGCUGUAAACGGUGGGUACUAGGUGUGGGGUCCAUUCCACGGGUUCCGUGCCGUAGCUAACGCUUUAAGUACCCCGCCUGGGGAGUACGGCCGCAAGGCUAAAACUCAAAGGAAUUGACGGGGCCCCGCACAAGCGGCGGAGCAUGCGGAUUAAUUCGAUGCAACGCGUAGAACCUUACCUGGGUUUGACAUGGAUCGGGAGUGCUCAGAGAUGGGUGUGCCUCUUUUGGGGUCGGUUCACAGGUGGUGCAUGGCUGUCGUCAGCUCGUGUCGUGAGAUGUUGGGUUAAGUCCCGCAACGAGCGCAACCCUUGUUCACUGUUGCCAGCACGUUAUGGUGGGGACUCAGUGGAGACCGCCGGGGUCAACUCGGAGGAAGGUGGGGAUGACGUCAAGUCAUCAUGCCCCUUAUGUCCAGGGCUUCACGCAUGCUACAAUGGCUGGUACAGAGAGUGGCGAGCCUGUGAGGGUGAGCGAAUCUCGGAAAGCCGGUCUCAGUUCGGAUUGGGGUCUGCAACUCGACCUCAUGAAGUCGGAGUCGCUAGUAAUCGCAGAUCAGCAACGCUGCGGUGAAUACGUUCCCGGGGCU
rnacentral:rRNA from 1 species